ensembl:lncRNA
GGUUUCUACUAUUCUGAGGGGGGGUUUCUACUAUAUUAGGGGGAGGAUUCUACUAUACUGCGGGGAGGUUUCUACUAUACUGAGGGGAGGAUUCUACUAUACUGCGGGGAGGUUUCUACUAUACUGCGGGGAGGAUUCUACUAUACUGCGGGGAGGUUUCUACUAUACUGAGGGGGUUUCUACUAUACUGAGGGGAGGUUUCUACUAUAUUAGGGGGAGAUUUCUACUGUACUGAGGGGAGUUUCUACUGUACUGAGGGGAGGGUCCUACUAUACUGAGGGGAGAUUUCUACUGUACUGAAGUGAUGUUUCUACUAUACUGAGGGGAGUUUCUACUAUACUGAGGGGAGG